rnacentral:tRNA from 1 species
UGAUGCCGUAGACGACGGUGAGGUCGGCGCCUUCGGCCGGCGCCGAGACGAUGACGCGCUUGGCGCCGGCGGUCAGAUGCGCUGCGGCCUUGUC